GCUUUACUAAUAGGUGUGAGAACUUUCAUGCAUGCUACAAAAGAAGGAUCAUCUUUUAAUAUAUAUGUUAUGCCCAUUUCUAAUGGUGAAAAAAUGUCAAGUGAUAUUCCUAGCCAAUAUGAAAAAUUCCAAGAUGUUUUUGAAAAGAAAAAUGUAGAUAUUCUUCCAAAGCAUCAACCUUAUGAUUGUUCAAUUGAUUUUUU
rnacentral:lncRNA from 1 species